rnacentral:tRNA from 1 species
GUUCGGUCCCCCUCCCGUUGGGGAGGGGUCCCUCACUCCUUCGGGGUCCGCCCCCGCGGGGCGGGCCGGACU